GAUGAACGCUGGCGGCGUGCCUAAUACAUGCCAGUCGAGCGAACAGACGAGGAGCUUGCUCCUCUGACGUUAGCGGCGGACGGGUGAGUAACACGUGGAUAACCUACCUAUAAGACUGGGAUAACUUCGGGAAACCGGAGCUAAUACCGGAUAAUAUUUUGAACCGCAUGGUUCAAUAGUGAAAGACGGUUUUGCUGUCACUUAUAGAUGGAUCCGCGCCGCAUUAGCUAGUUGGUAAGGUAACGGCUUACCAAGGCGACGAUGCGUAGCCGACCUGAGAGGGUGAUCGGCCACACUGGAACUGAGACACGGUCCAGACUCCUACGGGAGGCAGCAGUAGGGAAUCUUCCGCAAUGGGCGAAAGCCUGACGGAGCAACGCCGCGUGAGUGAUGAAGGUCUUCGGAUCGUAAAACUCUGUUAUUAGGGAAGAACAAAUGUGUAAGUAACUAUGCACGUCUUGACGGUACCUAAUCAGAAAGCCACGGCUAACUACGUG
rnacentral:rRNA from 1 species